CUACGGGUUGCACCAGUGGGGAAUUUUGCGCAAUGGGGGCAACCCUGACGCAGCGAUACCGCGUGAGUGAAGAAGGCCUUUGGGUCGUAAAGCUCUUUUCUAAGGGAAGAUAGUGACGGUACCUUAGGAAUAAGCGCCGGCUAACUCCGUGCCAGCAGCCGCGGUAAUACGGAGGGCGCGAGCGUUGUUCGGAUUUACUGGGCGUAAAGGGCGCGUAGGCGGCUUGGCAAGUUAAGGGUGAAAUCCCGGGGCUCAACCCCGGAACUGCUCUUAAAACUGCCAAGCUAGGGAUGGUCAGAGGCGGGUGGAAUUCCAGGUGUAGAGGUGAAAUUCGUAGAUAUCUGGAGGAACACCGGUGGCGAAGGCGGCCCGCUGGGGCCAUUCUGACGCUGAGGCGCGAAAGCGUGGGGAGCGAACGGGAUUAGAUACCCGCGUAGUC
rnacentral:rRNA from 1 species